GUUAUCUAACAAUAGGACUUUGUUCAAUCCAUAAACAUAUCUUACAUUCAUAUCAUACAUUCUUUCUUACAACGGUGGGUUUACACAUACCCAUUCAAACUAUCUUACAAUUGCGGAUUUAUAAUCACUACACACUUGCUCCCAUACUUUUCGCCGAAGAGAUUACAAACCGAUAUAGUACAAUCCUAAAAUACAAUGCUAGAAUGAAAUGCAACACAGAAUCAUACAAUGACUUAAAACCCUUACUUACCUCGUCCGAACUCAACGAUUUGAAGGUUUAGGGUAAUCCUAGUUAAUACUAAGGUUUUUCUUCUUCUUCGAGGAUGUAAUCGGGCUUGGGCUUGAUAGACCGGGAUUCUCUGGACGCUUCUUUGGACACACGGUGGCAUAAUGACCUUCACCUCUACACUCAUAACAGAUCACGUACGGGCGAGCAUAAGGAUGAUAGUGACAAACAUAAGGACAAGGUCCCGGGUAAUGACCAUCUUGGCCGCAAGUGAAGCAAAACGGCGUCAUACUAUAAGGUUCGGACCUACGUUCAUCCUCACGCUCCAUCUCAGUCACAAUGGUUCUAUCCGUGGAUCUCCUUAUCCUUUCAUUCCAAACGGGCAUACCUUCUGGUGGUCGGAUCGACUCAAUAAUAUGGCUACCCACAUCAAUCAUGUUCUCAAUCAUCGUAGCCAUGAAACUAGAUCCCAAAGUCAUCGGCUCACGAAUUGACUCAUCUAUAGGAAACAACACUCUCGGCUCCUCAACAGGUGGCAGAGUAUCUGGUAAGGUCUCACACUCAAACGUCGGAUCCGGCACUUCUUCAUCCACUUCUUCGUCAACUCCUUCAUCCUCAGAACUCAUAUGGAACAUUUCACUAGUAGCUCCAUCAUACCCAUCAUACCAAGUCCUACUCGCAAAUCUCCUUGGCAAAAUAGACAUCCUCGGCAUCUCGCUCUUAACACAGUUGGAAAAUGGUUCCCCAUUACCCAACUCAUCCGCAUCGGAUAACUCACUAUCCGACGAGAUCUCAACAAAGUUCAGAGUUGGCGGACUAGGUGGCGUAGCAAAUUUGACAUCGGGUAACACCAUGUUGUAAGCCAGCGCAUGCCUAGGAAUCCCAUAUUCUGCCGGCAUAAACACAACACAGUCACAAUCGUACGAGGCAUUACCUUCUGAAGGCGCAUCAGAAACACCAAAGUCUGUCCCCAAGGACAUUGAGCUGAAUGAAUCCAACAGCAACAAGCUAUCCGGCGUCGGAGGAUAAUGGUACGGAUUCGGGUGAACUCCUGGCUGCCACGAAUCAUCAGAGUUAAACUCAUACAGAACUCCAUCUGGGCCUUCCCAAAUAGGCUAAUCAAUCUCACUAUCUCCAAAGAGAAAACCAGUCGCCAUCUGCUCUUCAGACUCUACCGAAGAAUCACCAUCAAAAUCGUUGGAAAGCACAACAAAGUCAGUGAUUGAAACAUUCCCAAAAUUUCCUCCCAAAGCAACCAAAGGCAAGACUUCAUCAGACUCCGCACUAGUCUCGACAUCGUCAUCCUCAAACUCAUCAAGAUCUUCUGACGGGUCAGUCUCGACGAAACUGUCCAAUCUUUCCAUCUCCCUCGUAAGAAUGGAUUCAAUCGAGAACACUGGAGGACUCGUAGCCAUGAAAUACUUCGAUUGAGACCCCUCCAACAUUUACCUCACAUGUUCCGACAGAAUCACAUAAUCGUCAGAACUACCGUCAUUAUUCCCGUAAAGAUUGUUACUUGGUCCAGCACUCGACGAAAAUCCCCACGGUCGUGUACUCCAAAGCCUAGUAUGUCGCGACGAAUUCUGCAUCACCAAAAUAAGGUUAGUCCUAAAAUUCCCACGUUGGAACAACUUGGUUUAUCCUAAGGUAGAAGUGCGACUCUUAUUUUUAACUCCAUAAAAUAAACAUCACAACACAAAAUUUCUCUUUUGUACUUCCAUGUACAUUCACACAUCACAAUACUUUUCAGCAUCUCAUCACCACAUUUUUCCUCUUCACAACAUAACACAACACAACACACAAAGUUAUCCAGUGAUAAGACUUUGUUCAAUCCAUAAACAUAUCUUACAUUCAUAUCAUACAUUCUUUCUUACAAUGGUGGGUUUACACAUACCCAUUCAAACUUUCUUAUAAUUGCGAAUUUAUAACCACUACACACUUGCUCCCAUACUUUUCGUCGAAGAGAUUACAAACCAAUAUAGUACAAUCCUAAAAUGCAAUGCUAGAAUGAAAUGCAACACAAAAUCAUACACUGAGUUAGAACCCUUACUUACCUCGCCGGAAGCUAACGGUUCGAAGGUUUAGGGUAAUCCUAGUUAAUACUAAGGUAUUUCUUCCUCUUCGCGGACGUACUCGGGCUUGGGCUUGACGGACCGGGGUUCUCUGGACGCUUUAUUGGACACACGGUUGCAUAAUGACCUUCACCUCCACACUCAUAACAGAUCACGUACGGGCGAGCAUAAGGAUGAUAGUGACGAACAUAAAGACAAGCUUUGGGGUAAUGACCAUCUUGGCCGCAAGUGAACCAAAACGGCGUCACACUAUAAGGUUCGGACCUACGUCCAUCCUCACGCUCUAUCUCAGUCACAACGGUGCUAUCCACGGAUUUUCUUAUCCUUUCAUUCCAAACUGGUAUACCUUCAGGUGGUCGGAUCGGCUCAAUACCAAGGGUACCCGCAGCAAUCAUGUUCUCAAAUAUCGUAGCCAUGGAACUAGAUCCCAAAGUCACCGGCUCACGAAUCGACUCAUCCGGAGGAAACAACACUCCCGGCUCUUCAACAAGUGGCAGAGUAUCCGGUAAGGUGUCACACUCAAACGUCGGAUCCGGCACUUCUUCAUCCACUUCUUCGUCAACUUCUUCAUCUUCAGAACUAAUAUGGAACAUCUCACUAGUAGCUCCAUCAUACCCAUCAUACCAAGUCCUACUCGCAAAUCUCUUUGGCGAAAUAGACAUCCUCGAUAUCUCGGUUUUCACACUUUUCGAAAAUGGCACCCCACUACCCAACUCAUCCGCAUCAGAUAACUCACUAUCCGACGAGAUUUCAGCAAAGUUUAGGGUUGGCGGACUAGGUGGCGUAGCAAAUUCGACAUCGGGCGACACCAUGUUGUAAGCCAGCGCUUGCCUAGUAAUCCUAUAUUAUGUCGGUAUAACCACAACACAAUCAGAAUCGCGCGAUGCAUUACCUUCUGAAGGCGCAUCAGAAACACCAAAGUCUGUCCCCAAGGACAUUGAGCUGAACGAAUCUAACGUCAACAAGCUAUCCGGCGUUGGAGGAUAAAGGUACGGAUUUGCGUGAACUCCUGGCUACCACGAAUCAUCCGAGUUAAACUCAUACAGAACUCCAUCUGGGACUUCCCACAUAGGCUCAUCAAUCUCACUAUCUCCAAAGAGAAAACCAAUCGCCAUCUGCUCUUUAGACUCUUCCGAAGAAUCACCAUCAGAAUCGUCGGAAAGUACAACAAAGUCAGUGAUCAGAACAUUCUCGAAACUUCCGCCCAAAGCAACCAAAGGCACGACUUCGUCAGACUCUGCACUAGUCUCGACAUCGUCAUCCUCAAACUCAUCAAGAUCUUCCCGCGGGUCAGUCUCGACGGAACUGUCCGAUCCUUCCAUCUCCCUCGUAGGAAUGGAUUCAAUCGAGGUCACUGAAGGACUCAUAGCCAUGGAAGAUUCCGAUUGAGACCCCUCCAACAUUCGCCUCACAUAAUCCGAUGGAAUCACAGAAUCUUCAGAACUACCAUCAUUAUUCCCGUACAGAUUGUUACUUGGUCUAGCACUCGACGAAAAUCUCCACGGUCGUCCACCCCGAAGCCUAGUAUGUCGCGACGACAUCUACAUCACCAAACAAGGUUAGUCCUAACAUUCCCAUCUACUUAAAUCCCACGUUGGAACAACUUGGUUUAUCCUAAGGUAGAAGGGCGACUCUUAUUUUUGACUCGAUAAAAUAAACAUCACAACACAAAAUUUCUCUUUUAUACUUCCAUAUUCAUUCACACAUCACAAUACUUUUCCGCAUCUCAUCACCACAUUAUUCCUCAUCACAACACAACACAACACAACACACAAAGUUAUCCAACGAUAAGACUUUGUUCAAUCCAUAAACAUAUCUUACAUUCAUAUCAUACAUUUUUUCUUACAACGGUGGGUUUACACAUACCCAUUCAAAUUUUCUUACAAUUUCGGAUUUAUAACCACUACACACUUGCUCUCACACUUUUCGCCGAAGAGAUUACAAACCAAUAUAGUACAAUCCUAAAAUGCAAUGCUAGAAUGAAAUGCAACAAGGAAUCAUACACUGAGUUAGAACCCUUACUUACCUCGCUGGAACCUAACGGUUUGAAGGUUUAGGGUAAUCCUAGUUAAUACUAAGGUUUUUCUU
rnacentral:lncRNA from 1 species